rnacentral:miRNA from 1 species
UGAUGGUUGUUGGGAUAUCUUUAAU